UAUAAUAUAUAUUGUAUUAUAUAAUAUAUAUUAUAAUAUAUAUUAUAUUAUAUUAUAUAUUAUAUUAUAUAUUAUAUUAUAUAUUAUAUUAUACGUACGUGGGGUGAUAGUAAUAAUGAGUGUGGUGAAGAAUGACAAACGUGAGGGCAUAAUUGAUUCUUCGUUUCUUUUUUUAUUACAACAUUACAGCUAUGCACAAUACAUUAUUUAAUAAAUGAAUAAAUGUCUAAUUGACUAUUAAAAUAAAUGAUGAAUUAAUGUUUUAUUUUAUUAUAACCCAGAAUUUAUUGUUUUAAUUUUAUAACUCAUUUUCAGAAACAGUUGAACGGUUUCAAGGGCACUUUGAUAAUUUGAUAAAGACUCUGUUUGAAUCAGAAAUAUCUAAAGUCCAAAGAAUUGAUGGCGAAGAAAUGACAUGUGGACGCUUAUGUACUGAAUUCAAGGAACAUACACGAGCUAUUAAUAUUGGAAAAGGGUUUAACAUUACCUCGAUGGCUGAGGCUAAUGCUAUUGCACAUGAAUCUAGAAUGUACAGAAAAGUGAUCAGUGAAUUUAAUGAAAAGAUG